rnacentral:rRNA from 1 species
UACGGAGGGUGCGAGCGUUAAUCGGAAUUACUGGGCGUAAAGCGUGCGCAGGCGGCUUUGCAAGACAGAUGUGAAAUCCCCGGGCUUAACCUGGGAACUGCAUUUGUGACUGCAUGGCUGGAGUGCGGCAGAGGGGGAUGGAAUUCCGCGUGUAGCAGUGAAAUGCGUAGAUAUGCGGAGGAACACCGAUGGCGAAGGCAAUCCCCUGGGCCUGCACUGACGCUCAUGCACGAAAGCGUGGGGAGCAAACAGG